AGGACGAACGCUGGCGGCGUGCUUAACACAUGCAAGUCGAGCGGAAAGGCCCUUCGGGGUACUCGAGCGGCGAACGGGUGAGUAACACGUGAGCAACCUGCCCCUGGCUCUGGGAUAGCUCCGGGAAACCGGGAUUAAUACCGGACAUGACCUUCUCCUGCAUGGGAGUUGGUGGAAAGUUUUUCGGCCAGGGAUGGGCUCGCGGCCUAUCAGCUUGUUGGCAGGGUAAUGGCCUACCAAGGCGACGACGGGUA
rnacentral:rRNA from 1 species